AGAGGGAGGAGGAGCGAUAAGCAGAGCAGAUGUUCAAAUAUCUAAUCUGAUGCAAAAGUACAGAAAACUGGAUUAAGAACUGGACUGAAUCGACAGACACAAACACAAAACAAAGCAAGAGAAGAAGUCUGUUCCUGUAGCAAUAGGGCAUCAGGAGCACAGAGAGCUCAAAGGAAGAUCAAGAAGUGCUCUCUUGCAGCUCUGUUUACGGCAAAAGAACUUCAAGGAAACAGAGAAAAACAUCAGUGUAUGUAGAAGUGUUUGGAAGUUUUAGAGAUGCUUUUUAACGUUAUCUCAGCCGUGUGUUUGUCACUCUGGGUUAGUUCUUGUGUGGUCAACUCAGCUGAGGACCUAUACAUGACCAGAGCUCUGAAACUGAUGUCCGAGACCCCUCUCAUCGAUGGACAUAACGACCUGCCGUGGCAACUUCGCAAGCAAUUUAACAAUGAGCUCAACAAAGUGGAUCUGCACACUCUGAACUCAACACAUACCAACAU